AUUGAACGCUGGCGGCAGGCUUAACACAUGCAAGUCGAGCGGAGAUGAGGUGCUUGCACCUUAUCUUAGCGGCGGACGGGUGAGUAAUGCUUAGGAAUCUGCCUAUUAGUGGGGGACAACAUUCCGAAAGGAAUGCUAAUACCGCAUACGUCCUACGGGAGAAAGCAGGGGAUCUUCGGACCUUGCGCUAAUAGAUGAGCCUAAGUCGGAUUAGCUAGUUGGUGGGGUAAAGGCCUACCAAGGCGACGAUCUGUAGCGGGUCUGAGAGGAUGAUCCGCCACACUGGGACUGGGACACGGCCCAGACUCCUACGGGGGGCAGCAGUGGGGAAUAUUGGACAAUGGGGGGAACCCUGAUCCAGCCAUGCCGCGUGUGUGAAGAAGGCCUUAUGGUUGUAAAGCACUUUAAGCGAGGAGGAGGCUACUGAGACUAAUACUCUUGGAUAGUGGACGUUACUCGCAGAAUAAGCACCGGCUAACUCUGUGCCAGCAGCCGCCGUAA
rnacentral:rRNA from 1 species